ncrna:unclassified sequences Mu-gpT-DE RNA
CCCUGACAGCCGCAUGGUGCGUCUGACAUAACCCACGACAGGAGAUACAUAUG